GCUGGCGGCAUGCUUUACACAUGCAAGUCGAACGGCAGCGGGGGCUUCGGCCUGCCGGCGAGUGGCGAACGGGUGAGUAAUGCAUCGGAACGUGCCCAUGUCGUGGGGGAUAACGUAUCGAAAGGUACGCUAAUACCGCAUACGUCCUGAGGGAGAAAGCGGGGGAUCGCAAGACCUCGCGCGAUUGGAGCGGCCGAUGUCGGAUUAGCUAGUAGGUGAGGUAAAGGCUCACCUAGGCGACGAUUCGUAGCGGGUCUGAGAGGAUGAUCCGCCACACUGGGACUGAGACACGGCCCAGACUCCUACGGGAGGCAGCAGUGGGGAAUUUUGGACAAUGGGGGCAACCCUGAUCCAGCCAUGCCGCGUGAGUGAAGAAGGCCUUCGGGUUGUAAAGCUCUUUCGGCCGGGAAGAAAUCGUGUUCUCUAACAUAGGACAUGGAUGACGGUACCGGACUAAGAAGCACCGGCUAACUACGUGCCAGCAGCCGCGGUAAUACGUAGGGUGCGAGCGUUAAUCGGAAUUACUGGGCGUAAAGCGUGCGCAGGCGGUUUUGUAAGACAGAUGUGAAAUCCCCGGGCUUAACCUGGGAACUGCGUUUGUGACUGCAAGGCUAGAGUACGGCAGAGGGGGGUGGAAUUCCUGGUGUAGCAGUGAAAUGCGUAGAUAUCAGGAGGAACACCGAUGGCGAAGGCAGCCCCUGGGCCUGUACUGACGCUCAUGCACGAAAGCGUGGGGAGCAACAGGAUUAAAU
rnacentral:rRNA from 1 species